GAUUGAAGUACGCAUAUAAAUUCGGAAGGGCCCUCUAAUUAUUUAUUCUAUAAAUAUAUACAUAUUGAUGUUUACAAAUAGUAUAAAUAUACCAUUGAACAAUAGUAAUCACAGAAAUUAAGCAGUUAUUAACGAAAAUAUUAUAACCGAACCUAAAAAAAUAAGAAACAGAAAAAACAAACAUGUAAAAAUAUAGCUAAUAGCGCACACCAUC
rnacentral:lncRNA from 1 species